CCUACGGGAUGCAGCAGUGGGGAAUAUUGGACAAUGGGCGAAAGCCUGAUCCAGCCAUGCCGCGUGUGUGAAGAAGGCCUUCGGGUUGUAAAGCACUUUCAGUGGGGAAGAAAGCCUUGGGGCUAAUACCCUCGAGGAAGGACAUCACCCACAGAAGAAGCACCGGCUAACUCCGUGCCAGCAGCCGCGGUAAUACGGAGGGUGCGAGCGUUAAUCGGAAUUACUGGGCGUAAAGCGCGCGUAGGCGGUCUGAUAAGCCGGUUGUGAAAGCCCCGGGCUCAACCUGGGAACGGCAUCCGGAACUGUCAGGCUAGAGGGCAGGAGAGGAAGGUAGAAUUCCCGGUGUAGCGGUGAAAUGCGUAGAGAUCGGGAGGAAUACCAGUGGCGAAGGCGGCCUUCUGGACUGACACUGACGCUGAGGUGCGAAAGCGUGGGUAGCAAACAGGAUUAGAUACCCUAGUAGUC
rnacentral:rRNA from 1 species